CCCUUAGAUGUUCUGGGCUGCACGCGCGCUACACUGAACAGUUCAACAAGUCUUAACCUUGGCCGAUAGGUCUGGGUAAUCUUUGAACGCUGUUCGUGAUUGGGAUAGACCUUUGCAAUUAUGGGUCUUCAACGAGGAAUUCCUAGUAAACGCAAGUCAUCAGCUUGCAUUGAUUACGUCCCUGCCCUUUGUACACACCGCCCGUCGCACCUACCGAUUGAAUGGUCCGGUGAAAUCUCGGGACGGCGGCUUGGUCGCUUGCGUCCGACUGCUGAAACUUGAUUAAACCAUAUCAUUUAGAGGAAGGUGAANUCGUANCA
rnacentral:rRNA from 1 species